rnacentral:tRNA from 1 species
AAAUAAGAAGCAAUUGUUUUGCACUUUAAUUUCGACUUAAAAACAUGAUGAUUAUUCUAUCAUCCUUAUUUA